rnacentral:rRNA from 1 species
GUUAACGACCAUAGCAUAGUGGAAACACCUGUUCCCUUUCCGAACACAGAAGUUAAGCCCUAUGCGCGCGCGCUUAUACUGCCUACGGGUGGGAAGGUUUGCGUGUUGUUAACA